UAGAUUCUACCAACCUCCAAAGAGCCCAUCUCCAGCUCUUAACCAAGGAACCCCUCUGGCAAUUCAGCUUUACUCCUGGGUACAUCCUGUCUGCUCUCUACCUUUCCCCUCUCCCUGCAGGAGAGAACUGGAGCAUGUUACCUGUCCCACUGAGUCCUCUCCGUGGGGCUUUAUGGAGAGCCCUUGCCUAGCCUGGCAGCUCCCGCUCCCCAGUGGUCUCCUUGAUCCAGCCUGUGGGUGUGUGGGGAGAGAGGUUUCCAGCUGAACUGAAAACUGAAGCCCGAAGAAAGGCAGCCGGCCCCACCCAGAGACAGAGACGUGAGACCCAGAGACACAAGAGAGCCGGCCUGUUGGAAUCUUUGGAAG
rnacentral:lncRNA from 1 species